ensembl:vault_RNA Vault Vault RNA
GCACUGGUUUAGCUCAGUGGUUACUUCGUUCACAUUUCUCUCUGUAGAGAACCUGAUCUCCAUCCCUCUGUGGGAUCGAACCACGGGCGCUGUCCAGUGUUUUC